rnacentral:rRNA from 1 species
AGCAGCCGCGGUAAUUCCAGCUCCAAUAGCGUAUAUUAAAGUUGCUGCAGUUAAAAAGCUCGUAGUUGAAUUUCGGGACCAAUAUGUCGGUCGUGCCUCGGUACGUACUGGCAUCGUUGGUUUCUCCCUUCUGACGAACCAUGAUGUCACUUAUUUGGUGUCAUGGGGAAUCAGGACUGUUACUUUGAAAAAAUUAGAGUGUUUAAAGCAGGCUCACGCUUGAAUACAUUAGCAUGGAAUAAUGAAAUAGGACGUUUGAUUCUAUUUUGUUGGUUUCUAGGAUCGACGUAAUGAUUAAUAGGGAUAGUUGGGGGCAUUAGUAUUCAAUUGUCAGAGGUGAAAUUCUUGGAUUUAUUGAAGACUAACUACUGCGAAAGCAUUUGCCAAGGAUGUUUUCAUUAAUCAAGAACGAAAGUUAGGGGAUCGAAGACGAUCAGAUACCGUCGUAGUCUUAACCAUAAACUAUGCCGACUAGGGAUCGGAUGAUGUUAAUUUUUUAAUGACUCA